AGACGGUUCCGUAUGGGUGGGGGACCUGGUAUUGACAAGUAAGGGUAACAUUUCCAACAAAUCUUAAAUGUAAAUAUUAUUAUGUCCAUAGAUUGAAGUUUCAGGUGGAGAGUAAGAUGAAAAAUAUGCAAAAUUACAUGCAUGCAACCCAUUUAUGCCAUUUUUCUCUUUGUUUGUAGGCCUGACCGUUUGUCCUUGAGCCGUAGAUGGUCAACAAUCCGCUAGCUGUCUUGCUCUGACUGGUGCACUGGACAUGAUUUCAAUAGUCAGCCAGACCAUGAUUGAGCUUAAGGAUUGUGCUGCGGAUGCAGCCUGUGCAGUUCCGGGAGAAAGUCACUGUCUCGGGCAAUGCGGUCUGGUAUCAGGUCUGGAUGAUCCUUGCCUGACUGCGGGUUUGUGUACACCUCAAUCCGACUCUGUGUCCUGAACAGAGGCCGCAGUGGUGCAGCGCUUGUGGACGAUCCAUCAACAUCCUGAAAGGUCAACACUACACUAAGCUGGGAAAAUUGAUCCUGAUAGUCAUCCCCAGGCCUGACCGUUUGUCCUUGAGCCGUAGAUGGUCAACAAUCCGCUAGCUGUCUUGCUCUGACUGGUGCACUGGACAUGAUUUCAAUAGUCAGCCAGACCAUGAUUGAGCUUAAGGAUUGUGCUGCGGAUGCAGCCUGUGCAGUUCCGGGAGAAAGUCACUGUCUCGGGCAAUGCGGUCUGGUAUCAGGUCUGGAUGAUCCUUGCCUGACUGCGGGUUUGUGUACACCUCAAUCCGACUCUGUGUCCUGAACAGAGGCCGCAGUGGUGCAGCGCUUGUGGACGAUCCAUCAACAUCCUGAAAGGUCAACACUACACUAAGCUGGGAAAAUUGAUCCUGAUAGUCAUCCCCAGGCCUGACCGUUUGUCCUUGAGCCGUAGAUGGUCAACAAUCCGCUAGCUGUCUUGCUCUGACUGGUGCACUGGACAUGAUUUCAAUAGUCAGCCAGACCAUGAUUGAGCUUAAGGAUUGUGCUGCGGAUGCAGCCUGUGCAGUUCCGGGAGAAAGUCACUGUCUCGGGCAAUGCGGUCUGGUAUCAGGUCUGGAUGAUCCUUGCCUGACUGCGGGUUUGUGUACACCUCAAUCCGACUCUGUGUCCUGAACAGAGGCCGCAGUGGUGCAGCGCUUGUGGACGAUCCAUCAACAUCCUGAAAGGUCAACACUACACUAAGCUGGGAAAAUUGAUCCUGAUAGUCAUCCCCAGGCCUGACCGUUUGUCCUUGAGCCGUAGAUGGUCAACAAUCCGCUAGCUGUCUUGCUCUGACUGGUGCACUGGACAUGAUUUCAAUAGUCAGCCAGACCAUGAUUGAGCUUAAGGAUUGUGCUGCGGAUGCAGCCUGUGCAGUUCCGGGAGAAAGUCACUGUCUCGGGCAAUGCGGUCUGGUAUCAGGUCUGGAUGAUCCUUGCCUGACUGCGGGUUUGUGUACACCUCAAUCCGACUCUGUGUCCUGAACAGAGGCCGCAGUGGUGCAGCGCUUGUGGACGAUCCAUCAACAUCCUGAAAGGUCAACACUACACUAAGCUGGGAAAAUUGAUCCUGAUAGUCAUCCCCAGGCCUGACCGUUUGUCCUUGAGCCGUAGAUGGUCAACAAUCCGCUAGCUGUCUUGCUCUGACUGGUGCACUGGACAUGAUUUCAAUAGUCAGCCAGACCAUGAUUGAGCUUAAGGAUUGUGCUGCGGAUGCAGCCUGUGCAGUUCCGGGAGAAAGUCACUGUCUCGGGCAAUGCGGUCUGGUAUCAGGUCUGGAUGAUCCUUGCCUGACUGCGGGUUUGUGUACACCUCAAUCCGACUCUGUGUCCUGAACAGAGGCCGCAGUGGUGCAGCGCUUGUGGACGAUCCAUCAACAUCCUGAAAGGUCAACACUACACUAAGCUGGGAAAAUUGAUCCUGAUAGUCAUCCCCAGGUAGUGGAAUGAAUGUUCACUGAACUACAGAGGAAUCACACCCAAAUGACUUUCCUGCCACGACAUUAGUGUGGCCACUCGCGUAGGAAUUCCUUAGCAAACAUGCUCUUUUGCAUGGUGACUGUGGACAUUUUUGCAAAACUUAUGCUUUCAACACUGGAUUUUAAAGAGAAUACUUAAUAAAAUGUCGCUAACAGGACUUAUUUAUAUGAGAGAGACUAUCUGGAUGCGCAUUAAGUGUCACUUUGUGUCGUAAGCUGUUGAAGGAGCGAUUUGCGCCUUUUUAAGUGUUAAUUUUGGGUAGCCGGCUUGUAUCAGCUUGAAAGCUGAAAAUUAUGCCUCUCAUCAUAAUAGCAUUAAUUUUUGUAAUUGCAAUGUGUAUGUUUAGAUUGUAAGUGAAGCUUUUAAUAAUAAUUUUCUUAAAAAACAUGAUUUUAUAUGCUGUCAGUGAGUUUUUUAUUGAAAAAAGUGCUUAAAAUUUAAAAAAAGUCUCCUAUUUCAUCAAGAAAAGUACACUGAUUCACAAUCAAUACAUUUAUUUGGGCCUUUUGCUGAUAUAUUGGUGAAUUUCGCAUGCAAUGAUACCAGUUUUUGCCAUGAAAGUUACGCGUAACAAUAAUUGGAGACGCAAAAUCAGCUGUCGUCACUUAGACUAAAAAUCAUGCAUUCCGACUUGACUGCGGCCAAUUUAGUCACCGCUUUAAAUGGCCAUUUUAAGGCCUUUACCCCCAUCCGAAUGCACUGAAAUUGCAUAUUCAUUGUGGAAAUAGUUGAAAUCUCAUGUGGAGAAAGUUUGAAAAAGAUAGGACAAAGUUGAGUUCCCUUAAAGGUUACAUUACACUAAAUCAUUGUGUAUCCCUCCGUGGUCCAUUCGAAAGUAGUGCCUAUUUCUAAAGAGUUCCUUUUCUCUUCUUGAAUAUAAGCCAUUUAACAAUGUGAGACAUGACUUUUGUGGUUAUUUGUAAUAUCCUGUAUGUGUCUGGAGUACUUUGAUGCCUUGGAUUGGAAGCUAACUUAAAAGAUGAACUUUUGAGGGUGUGUUUUCUAUUGUGUGGGGCUUUUGUCGAAAUUAGGAUUCCGAAACACGUUUUUCUACGGUGGGUUCAUUCGACAGCGAUUUACUUUCUUAGAAGUUGCGAGACGGUAUGUUUUUGAUUGCAAUUAUUGGAAGAUGACAGAUCCAUCUUUAAAAUGAUACCAGGUUCGGAAAAAUUGAUACGUCGAAAAGGCAAGAAAAAUGCUGUGAAAGUUGUCAGUUUUAUAAUGGGACCCUAUGGGAAUCGGAAUUAG